UGGGAACUGAGGAAAGGCUACCGACUUUGCUAUUUCUACAGACUAGAAGAAGAAGAAAAAGAUGAUAUUGGAGUCAAUGGAUGGGGAAGAACAGCGGCUUUUGAGCCUGCUUGCAA